rnacentral:rRNA from 1 species
UACAGAGGUCCCGAGCGUUAGGCGGAAUCACUGGGCUUAAAGCGUGUGUAGGCGGAUCGUUAAGUACCUUGUGAAAUCCCACGGCUUAACCGUGGAACUGCUUGGUAUACUGGCGGUCUUGAGCCACUUAGGGGCUACCGGAACAAAUGGUGGAGCGGUGAAAUGCGUAGAUAUCGUAAGGAAGACCAGUGGCGAAGGCGGGUCUCUGGACAGUUCCUGACACUGAGACACGAAGGCCAGGGGAGCAAACGGG